UACGGCCACAUCACGUUAAAGCACCGAUUCCCGUACAAUCAUCGAAGUCAAGCAAAGUCGAGCCUGGUCAGUACCUAGAUAGAUGAUCCCUUGGGAAUACCAGGUGCUGUAA